AUUGAACGCUGGCGGCAGGCCUAACACAUGCAAGUCGAGCGGAUGAAGGGAGCUUGCUCCUGGAUUCAGCGGCGGACGGGUGAGUAAUGCCUAUGAAUCUGCCUCGUAGUGGGGGAUAACGUCCGGAAACGGGCGCUAAUACCGCAUACGUCCUGCGGGAGAAAGUGGGGGAUCUUCGGACCUCACGCUCUCAGAUGAGCCUAGGUCGGAUUAGCUAGUUGGUGGGGUAAAGGCCUACCAAGGCGACGAUCCGUAACUGGUCUGAGAGGAUGAUCAGUCACACUAGAACUGAGACACGGUCCAGACUCCUACGGGAGGCAGCAGUGGGGAAUAUUGGACAAUGGGCGAAAGCCUGAUCCAGCCAUGCCGCGUGUGUGAAGAAGGUCUUCGGAUUGUAAAGCACUUUAAGUGGGGAGGAAGGGCAGUAAGUUAAUACCUUGCUGUUUUGACGUUACCAACAGAAUAAGCACCGGCUAACUUCGUG
rnacentral:rRNA from 1 species